ACGUUAAAAAACUUUAGCCAAAGCAAUCCUCUGACUUCCUUAAAUAACCCUUUGCAGAUGAAUCACCUCGCUCUCACUCCUGGGGUUUUCUCACUGAUGGUUUACCUGGGUCCUUGGUGCUACAAUUUCAUUCCUCCCUACUCAAUCUGUUCUCAGUCUGCAAAGACAAAGCCUGACUCUCCACUGAAUGACACUGACUCUUGUCCUCCAGCACUGCAAUUAGAUGACCCCUUGGGCUGACUUUCUUUAGCUUAAAUGAUCCCAUUUGUUGAACUUUUCCUCCUCCAAACUAUAUUGUUGCCCUGAUGUCAAUUUCGAGCUCCAUGUUGGACUUUCUAGGGGAAGAAUGCAAAAAAUACUUCCCUUCGUUGAGAGUCUUAUGACAUCUAUCUCUUGUAAUU
rnacentral:lncRNA from 1 species